rnacentral:lncRNA from 1 species
UUAUAUACUAAUAUAUACUUAUAUUAUAUAUUAUAUAGUUUCUCGACCUACUCUUUCGUAUAACGAAUGAAAUAACAUAAAUCCCAUAACUUAACUGGUACCUAUUCCGACUUGUUAGGAUUUGAUGAAAUUCAAUGCGGAGAGAAAUCUCGUAGAUUUUUUCUCUUGUUAAAGGGUCUAUUCUUUUUUCCAUCAUUUUUAGAAAAGUCGACA